rnacentral:misc_RNA from 1 species
GAUGAAGAACGUAGCGAAAUGCGAUACUUGGUGUGAAUUGCAGAAUCCCGUGAACCAUCGAGUCUUUGAACGCAAGUUGCGCCCGAAGCCAUUAGGCCGAGGGCACGCCUGCCUGGGUGUCACACGUCGUUGCCCCCCCAUCUACUCCUUCGGGAUUGCGGGGGGCGGAUGAUGGCCUCCCGUGCGCCUCGUCGCGCGGUUGGCAUAAAUGCCAAGUCCUCGGCGACGCACGCCACGACAAUCGGUGGUUGCGAAACCUCGGUUGCCCGUCGUGUGCGGUCGUCGCGCAUCGAGGGCUCGAAAAAAUUGCCGGGCUCCGGCUCGGCUUUCAACGCGACCCCAGGUCAGGCGGGGUUACCCGCUGAAUUUAAGCAUAUCAAUAAGCGGGGA